rnacentral:rRNA from 1 species
UGGGGAAUAUUGCACAAUGGGCGAAAGCCUGAUGCAGCAACGCCGCGUGAGCGAUGAAGGCCUUUGGGUCGUAAAGCUCUGUCCUUGGGGAAGAAAAAAAUGACGGUACCCUUGGAGGAAGCCCCGGCUAACUACGUGCCAGCAGCCGCGGUAAUACGUAGGGGGCAAGCGUUAUCCGGAAUUAUUGGGCGUAAAGAGUGCGUAGGUGGUUUUAUAAGCGCAGGGUGAAAGGCAAUGGCUCAACUAUUGUAAGCCUUGCGAACUGUGAGACUUGAGUGCAGGAGAGGAAAGUGGAAUUCCUAGUGUAGCGGUGAAAUGCGUAGAUAUUAGGAGGAACACCAGUGGCGAAGGCGACUUUCUGGACUGUUACUGACACUGAGGCACGAAAGCGUGGGGAGCAAACA